UGAGGUAUAGUUCAGUGAUAGAGCAUUUGGCUAGAAUGCACAAGACCCUGGGUUUGAUACCCAGCACUGCAA
rnacentral:tRNA from 1 species